rnacentral:lncRNA from 11 species
CAGAGAUUUACAUAUGAAUUGCACAUGCUAAUGUAUCCUUCAACUGGGAUAGCCCUUCAAAUAGGCAUCAUUAUAGGACACAAAAGCAUCCUACUGAGGUCAUUAGGCUUUCCAUAAACAAUCAGUUCCACUCCACUGCAUGAGAAUAGAGCAAAGCAGUAACACACUGCUGAUGUCUAACAGGGGCAUUCAGAUGAUCAAGGACUGAUCAGAGAAAAACAACAACAUGAGACAUAUAGUAUUUCCCCAGUGCGCUCUAAGGCAACUGGUGUUUAUGUGAGCUAUUCUCUUCCAAAC